rnacentral:rRNA from 1 species
UACGUAGGCGGCCAUAUAAGUCAGAAGUGAAAGGCUACGGCUUAACCGUAGUAAGCUUUUGAAACUGUAUGGCUUGAGUGCAGGAGAGGAAAGCGGAAUUCCUAGUGUAGCGGUGAAAUGCGUAGAUAUUAGGAAGAACACCAGUAGCGAAGGCGGCUUUCUGGACUGAAACUGACGCUGAGGUACGAAAGCGUGGGGAGCGAACAGGAUUAGCUACCCUGGUAGUCC